AGUGAACGCUGGCGGUAGGCCUAACACAUGCCAGUCGAACGGCAGCACAGUAAGAGCUUGCUCUUACGGGUGGCGAGUGGCGGACGGGUGAGGAAUACAUCGGAAUCUACUUUUUCGUGGGGGAUAACGUAGGGAAACUUACGCUAAUACCGCAUACGACCUACGGGUGAAAGCAGGGGAUCUUCGGACCUUGCGCGAUUGAAUGAGCCGAUGUCGGAUUAGCUAGUUGGCGGGGUAAAGGCCCACCAAGGCGACGAUCCGUAGCUGGUCUGAGAGGAUGAGCAGCCACACUGGAACUGAGACACGGUCCAGACUCCUACGGGAGGCAGCAGUGGGGAAUAUUGGACAAUGGGCGCAAGCCUGAUCCAGCCAUACCGCGUGGGUGAAGAAGGCCUUCGGGUUGUAAAGCCCUUUUGUUGGGAAAGAAAAGCAGCAGGUUAAUACCCCGCUGUUCUGACGGUACCCAAAGAAUAAGCACCGGCUAACUUCGUG
rnacentral:rRNA from 1 species